rnacentral:lncRNA from 1 species
UGGAGUACAUUGAAGCCAGUAAUUCUAUCUCCCUGGUCAGCAGUGGAAUAGGUUGAAGAUUGUAAGUCUUAUCUCUCUGCAGUUGCAGUGGAAUAGAUUAAAGCACUAGCUCCUAUACUUUUGAAGAUGCAGUAGGAAGGAAUGAGGCUACUUGAAGAAGAAGAGUUUCAUGUUCUAGCAAGACCGGACAAAAUUGGGCAUUUUUAAAGUCUUUGCUCCGUUCUUGUUACACGACAACGAGCAAAAAGGGGCAGCUGUAAUACCCAAUUUUAGCCCGGGCUCACAUAUGGAAACAUAAUUUUUGAGGAUAUGCAAUCUUAGAUAUGAUAUGCAAUCCUAGAUAUGAUAUGCAAUCUUAGAUAUGAU